GCCGGGAUAGCUCAGUGGUAGAGCAGGGUUUUCGUAAAACCAAGGUCGAGAGUUCAAGUCUCUCUCCCGGCU
rnacentral:tRNA from 5 species